rnacentral:rRNA from 1 species
UCGAACGGUAAGGUCUCUUCGGAGAUACACGAGUGGCGCACGGGUGCGUAACGCGUAUGCAACCUACCUCUGACUGGGGAAUAGCCCCGAGAAAUCGGGAUUAAUGCCCCAUAACAACCGGGAAUCUCAUGUUUUCCGGUUAAAAGUUCCGACGGUUGGAGAUGGGCAUGCGUGACAUUAGCUAGUUGGUGAGGUAACGGCUCACCAAGGCUACGAUGUCUAGGGGUUCUGAGAGGAUACUCCCCCACACUGGUACUGAGACACGGACCAGACUCCUACGGGAGGCAGCAGUAAGGAAUAUUGGGCAAUGGACGAAAGUCUGACCCAGCCAUGCCGCGUGCAGGAUGACAGCCCUACGGGUUGUAAACUGCUUUUGUACGGAAAAAAACCCCUGGUCGAGCAUCAGGGCUGAUGGUACCGUGCGAAUAAGCAUCGGCUAACUCCGUGCCAGCAGCCGCGGUAAUACGGAGGAUGCAAGCGUUAUCCGGAUUCAUUGGGUUUAAGGGUGCGCAGGCGGAGUAAUAAGUCAGUGGUGAAAUCCUACGGCUCAACUGUAGAACUGCCAUUGAUACUGUCACUCUUGAGUAUAGUUGAAGUGGGCGGAAUGUGUCAUGUAGC